CUCAACUCCGGUUCUGCAGUGGGUACGGGCAGACUAGAGUGCAGUAGGGGAGACUGGAAUUCCUGGUGUAGCGGUGAAAUGCGCAGAUAUCAGGAGGAACACCGAUGGCGAAGGCAGGUCUCUGGGCUGUAACUGACGCUGAGGAGCGAAAGCAUGGGGAGCGAACAGGAUUAGAUACCCUGGUAGUCCAUGCCGUAAACGUUGGGCACUAGGUGUGGGGGACAUUCCACGUUUUCCGCGCCGUAGCUAACGCAUUAAGUGCCCCGCCUGGGGAGUACGGCCGCAAGGCUAAAACUCAAAGGAAUUGACGGGGGCCCGCACAAGCGGCGGAGCAUGCGGAUUAAUUCGAUGCAACGCGAAGAACCUUACCAAGGCUUGACAUGAACCGGAAAGACCUGGAAACAGGUGCCCCGCUUGCGGUCGGUUUACAGGUGGUGCAUGGUUGUCGUCAGCUCGUGUCGUGAGAUGUUGGGUUAAGUCCCGCAACGAGCGCAACCCUCGUUCUAUGUUGCCAGCGCGUUAUGGCGGGGACUCAUAGGAGACUGCCGGGGUCAACUCGGAGGAAGGUGGGGACGACGUCAAAUCAUCAUGCCCCUUAUGUCUUGGGCUUCACGCAUGCUACAAUGGCCGGUACAAAGGGUUGCGAUACUGUGAGGUGGAGCUAAUCCCAAAAAGCCGGUCUCAGUUCGGAUUGGGGUCUGCAACUCGACCCCAUGAAGUCGGAGUCGCUAGUAAUCGCAGAUCAGCAACGCUGCGGUGAAUACGUUCCCGGGCCUUGUACACACCGCCCGUCAAGUCACGAAAGUUGGUAACACCCGAAGCCGGU
rnacentral:rRNA from 1 species